CUACGUGCCAGCAGCCGCGGUAAUACGUAGGGCGCGGGCGUUGUCCGGAAUUAUUGGGCGUAAAGAGCUUGUAGGCGGUUUGUCGCGUCUGCUGUGAAAGGCCGGAGCUUAACUCCGUGUAUUGCAGUGGGUACGGGCAGACUAGAGUGCAGUAGGGGAGACUGGAAUUCCUGGUGUAGCGGUGGAAUGCGCAGAUAUCAGGAGGAACACCGAUGGCGAAGGCAGGUCUCUGGGCUGUAACUGACGCUGAGAAGCGAAAGCAUGGGGAGCGAACAGGAUUAGAUACCCUGGUAGUCCAUGCCGUAAACGUUGGGCACUAGGUGUGGGGAACAUUCCACGUUUUCCGCGCCGUAGCUAACGCAUUAAGUGCCCCGCCUGGGGAGUACGGCCGCAAGGCUAAAACUCAAAGAAAUUGACGGGGGCCCGCACAAGCGGCGGAGCAUGCGGAUUAAUUCGAUGCAACGCGAAGAACCUUACCAAGGCUU
rnacentral:rRNA from 1 species